GUAUUUAGUCGUUUUGAAGCUUCAUUUAUAUCUGAUGCUUCCAAAGAGUGCCUUAAUUUUCAUGUUCGUCGCGCUUCUAAUCGCCAACGAACUGUUAGGCGGAUCUGCUGGUCCAACCGAACCAAAGAAAGGCGUAGAAGAUGAUAAGUACGGCGAUCAGACUAGCGCAGGGGUAUCGCAU